AGCACUCACAGCUCGACGUCUUAAUGGCUAGACAUGCACGAGGGAGCGGCAGCUGGGAGCUUGCUCCCUGAUGUUAGCGGCGGACGGGUGAGUAACACGUGGGUAACCUGCCUGUAAGACUGGGAUAACUCCGGGAAACCGGGGCUAAUACCGGAUGGUUGUUUGAACCGCAUGGUUCAAACAUAAAAGGUGGCUUCGGCUACCACUUACAGAUGGACCCGCGGCGCAUUAGCUAGUUGGUGAGGUAACGGCUCACCAAGGCAACGAUGCGUAGCCGACCUGAGAGGGUGAUCGGCCACACUGGGACUGAGACACGGCCCAGACUCCUACGGGAGGCAGCAGUAGGGAAUCUUCCGCAAUGGACGAAAGUCUGACGGAGCAACGCCGCGUGAGUGAUGAAGGUUUUCGGAUCGUAAAGCUCUGUUGUUAGGGAAGAACAAGUACCGUUCGAAUAGGGCGGUACCUUGACGGUACCUAACCAGAAAGCCACGGCUAACUACGUGCCAGCAGCCGCGUUAAAUAA
rnacentral:rRNA from 1 species